AACACAAUCUUCAUCAUCACACAAGACACAACAACAACAAUGAACAACAUCAUCAUCCUCAUCUGGACUCUCACACUGUUUGCUCAAGGUUUUCAUGGUUUCAGUGGACAGGUGACUGUGACUCAGACUCCCUCUGUAAAAAUGGCUCAGAUUGGUGAAUCAGUCACUAUAAACUGCAAAACAAACACAGCAGUGAGCAAUGGAUGUGUAGGUUCAAAUAACUGUAUGGCCUGGUACCAGCAGAAAUCUGGAGAAGCUGCUAAACGCUUGAUUCAUUCUAGAAAUCAAAGAGAAUCAAACACUCCAUCUAGAUUUAGAGGUAGUGGAUCCAAAACUGACUUUACUUUGACCAUCAGUGGAGUCCAGACUGAAGAUACAGGAUAUUAUUACUGUCAGAGUCACCACUACUUCAACAGUGAAGCAGUAAUGUUCACACAGUGA